CCCGAUCUCUCGCUUUCCCUCUCUCCCUCCCUUCCUCUCUCCUCCUGCUCCUACUAUUACCACUACAACCGCUGCUGCUGCUCUGCGUCUGUCGAGCUCCUCCUUGUCGAUGGCCCAGCUCGACCUCCCAUCACUCUUCACAGCACCCCAUGGCUUCUUCGACUCUGCUCUCCUCUUCACUCACCGCCAUGACGCCCUGGCCCAGCCUCUUCCCCCCUCUCCUCUCCUAGGUUUAGGGUUUCAACGCUUACAGCUCCGCGAUGGCAUCGACGUUUCAUCAUCCCUGGACCAAGCACCUGCCGCUAGUGAAUCUUUGUUACAAAGCUGGGCCUGUCAUGGCUGUCGUGCUGUCUUUCAAUCUUUGGAAGAACAGCGCGCUCACUUCAAAUCAGAUUUCCAUAAAUUCAACGUGAAGCGAAAAAUUGCUGGUAAAGAAACUCUGAACGAGAAUGAAUUCGAGGAAGUGACCCAGGGUAAUGAUGGCGACGUCUCUAGCAUUUCGGGAUCGGAUUCCGAGACAGAGGCGGAUGACAGUAGAAUCUCAUCAUCUCUAGUAUCACGAAGCAACCAGCUGCACGUCAAGUUGAAUAACUCAGGAGAUAUUAUUAUUCUCUGGAGGUGUCUAAUUGCAGCAGAUAAGGAGAUUCUGCCGGGAGAAAAAGGCUAUUCGACAGAUGAGACCACUGCUGCUAGUUUGUGUUUAAAGGAGGACGAAGUUUUGCGACGCCUGAAGUCCUUGACCAGUCGAGAGAAAAAGUCUGUGUGGGUUAUUUUGCUGGCUGCUGGCGGUCAUUUUGCUGGCUUGGUGAUAAAUAGUCAAGACGGUUCUAUUCUUGCUCAUCAAACUUUCCAUAGGUAUGUGGUGAGGGCCAAAGCAGGUGGUCGGCAAUCAGCACGAGAUGCUACGGGCAGAGCUCCUCAGUCUGCGGGGGCCUCGCUUCGUCGCUACAAUGAGCAAGCUCUUCAAAAAGACAUUAGAGAUCUUCUCACCUCUUGGAGUGAGCACAUGCAAGCUGCAUCUCAUAUUUUUGUGUAUGCCCCUUCGAGCAACGCACAAACCUUAUUUGGAGGGGAAAACGCGUCAUUGAAUCGUAAUGAUCGAAGGAUACGAAGGAUACCAUUCACCACACGUAGACCUACUAUGAAAGAAGCUAAGCGAAUUAGUCACCUCCUUAGCUGGCUUCAAAGAUUAGACUUAGAAGCAAUUCAUGCGACCGCAGACAUACCAGUCACCGUUGGAAGAUCCGGUAGAGUGACAACGCUUGUCGGGAAAGACUCUAGUAACGUGCCAGCGCAAACAGGAAAGACUUCCGACAGGACGAAGUUGAAGCCCCCUCAAGUUGAUAACCAGGUGUCAGCUGAACAAGUAGAAGGCAGUAAAUUAAGUUCGGAAGAUAAUCUAGGGUUAACUCCCUUACAUUUAGCAGCCAAGGCAGGGGAUACUGUGAAGGUCUUGAACUUAUUAGUGGAGGGUGCAGAUCCUUGCUUAAAAGAUAAGAUGGGGAAAACCCCUUAUAUUCUCGCAAAGGACAAAGAGACCCGCAAUGUUUUUCGUCGAUUCAUGGCCCAGCAUCUUGACAAGUGGGAUUGGCACGGAGCUAGUGUACCCAGCCCAUUGACAGAUGAACUUGAAGCAGCACAAAUUGCGAAGCAGCUGAUCCGUCAAAAACCUAACCCAGGCAGAGAAGGAUGCCAAAAGGAAAGCAAAAGAAAAGGAGCGGAAGAAGCUUAAAAAGGCUGAAGAAAAAGCCAAACAGGUGGAGGCGAAGGCGGAAGCGGAGGCCAAGGCGGCAGCAGCCAGUGUUCGUUAUGACAAGGACCGAGCGAAAGAAAUGCUCAAGACCUCCAAAUUAUUAGAUCCUAAGUCAAAAGAAUAUCAAGAGGCAUUGCUGAAGGCACAAGCGCAAGAGAGAGAGAUACGAGCGGCAGCUGCUGAGUUCAGAUUACGAGCAGUGGCUGGUGCAAACCAAAAGCCUGCAAGUUCAACUUCUAUAAACUCUAGUUCAACCUCUUUGAAUGCCCCUAACUUAUGCUCAUGCUGUCAAGCAUCUUUGGCAGGAAAGGUACCCUUCACCAGGUAUUCGUACCAGUAUUGUAGCACUACUUGUGUUCGUGUUCACAAAAUAGCAUUGGAAGAAGAAUAGGUUCAAUAUGUAUUGGUUAACCCUUCUACUAUGAUUGCACAUUGGAGUUUCUUGAAACUUAGUGAAACGAGUUUCUGAUUGUAGCUUGAUUAGGACUAAUCAUCGUCGGUGAUAGCGAAUGAACUUUUUUACAAUGACAUGAGGGUGAAGCCACAGGAGAGUGUUGGUUUGGAAGAAAAUGAAUUGACAAGUUGGACACUAAAACCUUUCAUGUAACAUUCUUUACUUGAGGGGUAUGGGACUCUAGUUGUGCAUUCUUCAUUAAAGUUUGGAUACUCUUCAAUAUGACCGACUUGUAUUUUUAUUAAACAGUUAUAGGACGAGCUUGUUAUGUACCUGGUAAACUUUUUGAUAUGAUACUUCUCAAACACUUCAUUA